rnacentral:rRNA from 1 species
UACGACUACAUAUCAGGCAUAUCAAUAAGCGGAGGAAAAGAAACUAACUAAGGAUUCCCUCAGUAACGGCGAGUGAAGCGGGAAGAGCUCAAAUUUGAAAUCUUCAAGGUUUUACCUUGACGAAUUGUAGUUUAAAGAAGUGUUUUCGGUUAGAGGAGUUUAGUAAAAGUUCUUUGGAAUAGGACAUCAUAGAGGGUGAGAAUCCCGUAUUUGACCUAUUAUUUCCUAGCUUUGUGAUACACUUUCAAAGAGUCGGAUUGUUUGGGAAUGCAGUCCAAAAUGGGUGGUAAAUUUCAUCUAAAGCUAAAUAUUGGCGAGAGACCGAUAGCGAACAAGUACCGUGAGGGAAAGAUGAAAAGAACUUUGAAAAGAGAGUUAAACAGUACGUGAAAUUGUCAAAAGGGAUGCGUUUGACACCAGUAGUUGUUUCUACGAAAAUCAAUUUAUGAUGGCUUGAUGCUAAGCUUUAAGACUUUAUCCGCUUGUUGUUUAGUUUUCUUGUCUUUGUGAAUGCACUUUUCGUGGAACAAGUCAACAUCAAUUUCUUUUGCUGUAAAAGGGUAAGAGGAAGGUGGCUUCGGCUUCGGUUGAAGUGUUUAUAGCCUUUUAUCUCUGCAGUCGGAGAGAUUGAGGUCUGCAGCGUAGACUCUUCUGGGUUAGAUACGUCGGUGCUAAGCUAUAGCUUUUCAUAGACAACUUGUUGACUAUGUUUAGUCAUGUGGCUUACCCGCUGGCGCUAUUUUACCUACGCUUAGGAUGUUGACACACGCGCGUGCUCG